UGGACAAAUUAUUGUAUUCAACUAUAUUCACGGCGUGAAACAGGGGAUUACACUGUUUUUAAAUGGAAAGUGAAUCAAUUAACAUAAUAGAAUCCU
rnacentral:pre_miRNA from 1 species